GGCAGUGUGUUGCAGUGGUUUGAAUAUUGGACUAUAAUGCUGAGGAUCAGGGUUCAAAUCCCCACUCAGCCA